rnacentral:miRNA from 1 species
GUGUGUGUGUGUAUCUCCCUCUCCCUCUUUCUCUCUCUCUUUCUCUCAUAUAUUAACAAUAUGUUAUAUUUGCAAGGCAUUUCAUGGUUUAUAAGGCCUUGAGGAUAACAUGGUGUUAGAGAGAGAGAGAGAGAGAGAGAGAGAGAGAGAGAGAGAGGAGAGAG